rnacentral:rRNA from 1 species
UACGGAGGAUCCAAGCGUUAUCCGGAUUUAUUGGGUUUAAAGGGUGCGUAGGCGGGACAGUAAGUCAGUGGUGAAAUCCUAUUGCUUAACAAUAGAAUUGCCAUUGAUACUGCUGACCUUGAGUACAAAUGAUGUGGGCGGAAUGUGCAGUGUAGCGGUGAAAUGCUUAGAUAUUGCACAGAACACCGAUAGCGAAGGCAGCUCACAAAACUGUAACUGACGCUGAGGCACGAAAGUAUGGGGAUCAAACAGG